rnacentral:rRNA from 1 species
UACGAAGGGGGCUAGCGUUGCUCGGAAUUACUGGGCGUAAAGCGCACGUAGGCGGCUUUCUAAGUCAGGGGUGAAAUCCUGGAGCUCAACUCCAGAACUGCCUUUGAUACUGAAGAUCUUGAGUUCGGGAGAGGUGAGUGGAACUGCGAGUGUAGAGGUGAAAUUCGUAGAUAUUCGCAAGAACACCAGUGGCGAAGGCGGCUCACUGGCCCGAUACUGACGCUGAGGCACGAAAGCGUGGGGAGCAAACAGG